GAUACUAUGCGGUUGGCCGAAUGACAGGGACACUUUUUUAAAUAUCAGAUUACCUAUAAUAACGGUAUCACCAAGAUAUUUGCACGUUUGAAUCCUUCUGCGGGUCCAGUUCAACUGCUAGUUAUACACCCAUUGCCUAUGUUUCCUCCACCACAGUCAGGCAGAGGGGAUGAGGUUGAGCUCGACGUAAGCUAUAUAGG
rnacentral:lncRNA from 1 species